AUUGAACGCUGGCGGCAGGCCUAACACAUGCAAGUCGAGCGAGCGGCGGACGGGCGAGUAAUGCCUAGGAAUGUGCCUGGCAGUGGGGGAUAACUACUGGAAACGGUAGCUAAUACCGCAUACACGCAGAUGAACACAUAUGGGAUUAGCUUGUAGGUAAGGUAACGGCUUACCUAGGCGACGAUCCCUAGCUGGUCUGAGAGGAUGAUCAGCCACACUGUGACUGAGACACGGCCCAGACUCCUACGGGAGGCAGCAGUGGGGAAUAUUGCACAAUGGGCGCAAGCCUGAUGCAGCCAUGCCGCGUGUAUGAAGAAGGCCUUCGGGUUGUAAAGUACUUUCAGUCGGGAGGCGUUACCGACAGAAGAAGCACCGGCUAACUCCGUGCCAGCAGCCGCGGUAAUAC
rnacentral:rRNA from 1 species